rnacentral:rRNA from 1 species
CGAAGGGGCGUAGCGUUGCUCGGAAUCACUGGGCGUAAAGACGCACGUAGGCGGACUCUUAAGUCAGGGGUGGAAAUACCUGGAGCUCAACUCCAGAACUGCCUUUGAUACUGGGAGUCUUGAGUCCGGAAGAGGUAAGUGGAACUGCGAGUGUAGAGGUGAAAUUCGUAGAUAUUCGCAAGAACACCAGUGGCGAAGGCGGCUUACUGGUCCGGUACUGACGCUGAGGUGCGAAAGCGUGGGGGAGCAAACAGGAUU